GACGAACGCUGGCGGCGUGCCUAAUACAUGCAAGUUGAGCGAUGAAGAUUGGUGCUUGCUCCAAUUUUGAUAGCAGCGAACGGGUGAGUAACGCGUGGGUAAUCUGCCUUUGAGCGUGGGACAACAUUUGGAAACGAAUGCUAAUACCGCAUAACAACUUUAAACAUAAGUUUUAAGUUUGAAAGAUGCUAUUGCAUCACUCAAUGAUGAUCCCGCGUUUUCUUAGCUAGUUGGUGAGGUAAAGGCUCACCAAGGCGAUGAUACAUAGCCGAACUGAGAGGGGGAACGGCCAAAAUGGGAACGAGAACAGGCCCAAAAUCCUAAGGGAGGCAGGAGUAGGGGAAUUUUCGGAAUUGACGAAAGGCUGAACGAGCAAAGCCGGGUGAGUGAAGAAGGGUUUCGGAACAGAAAACUCUGUUGGUAGAGGAGAAAGUUGGGGGGAGGGGAAAGCGCAUAAAGUGACGGUAACUAACCAGAAAGGGACGGCUAACUACGUG
rnacentral:rRNA from 1 species